GACGAACGCUGGCGGCGUGCUUAACACAUGCAGGUCGAACGGAAAGGCCCUGCUUUUGUGGGGUGCUCGAGUGGCGAACGGGUGAGUAACACGUGAGUAACCUGCCCUUGACUUUGGGAUAACUUCAGGAAACUGGGGCUAAUACCGGAUAGGAGCUCCUGCUGCAUGGUGGGGGUUGGAAAGUUUCGGCGGUUGGGGAUGGACUCGCGGCUUAUCAGCUUGUUGGUGGGGUAGUGGCUUACCAAGGCUUUGACGGGUAGCCGGCCUGAGAGGGUGACCGGCCACAUUGGGACUGAGAUACGGCCCAGACUCCUACAGGAGGCAGCAGUGGGGAAUAUUGCACAAUGGGCGGAAGCCUGAUGCAGCAACGCCGCGUGCGGGAUGACGGCCUUCGGGUUGUAAACCGCUUUCGCCUGUGACGAAGCGUGAGUGACGGUAAUGGGUAAAGAAGCACCGGCUAACUACGUG
rnacentral:rRNA from 1 species